AGAGUUUGAUCAUGGCUCAGAUUGAACGCUGGCGGCAGGCCUAACACAUGCAAGUCGAGCGGUAGCACAGAGAGCUUGCUCUCGGGUGACGAGCGGCGGACGGGUGAGUAAUGUUUGGGAAACUGCCUGAUGGAGGGGGAUAACUACUGGAAACGGUAGCUAAUACCGCAUAACGUCGCAAGACCAAAGUGGGGGACCUUCGGGCCUCAUGCCAUCAGAUGUGCCCAGAUGGGAUUAGCUAGUAGGUGGGGUAAUGGCUCACCUAGGCGACGAUCCCUAGCUGGUCUGAGAGGAUGACCAGCCACACUGGAACUGAGACACGGUCCAGACUCCUACGGGAGGCAGCAGUGGGGAAUAUUGCACAAUGGGCGCAAGCCUGAUGCAGCCAUGCCGCGUGUAUGAAGAAGGCCUUCGGGUUGUAAAGUACUUUCAGCGAGGAGGAAGGCGUUAAGGUUAAUAACCUUGGCGAUUGACGUUACCGCAGAAGAAGCACCGGCUAACUCGUGCCAGCAGCCGCGGUAAUAC
rnacentral:rRNA from 1 species